GAGUCUAUAGCUCAGUGGUAGAGCGCUCGCUUCACACGCGAGAGGUCGAUGGUUCGAAUCCAUCUAGACUCACCU
rnacentral:tRNA from 1 species